GAUGAACGCUGGCGGCGUGCCUAAUACAUGCAAGUCGAGCGAACGGACGCGAAGCUUGCUUCUCUGAUGUUAGCGGCGGACGGGUGAGUAACACGUGGAUAACCUACCUAUAAGACUGGGAUCACUUCGGGACACCGGCGCUAAUCCCGGAUAAUAUUUUGAACCGCAUGGUUCAAAAGUGAAAGACGGCGUUGCUGUCACUUCUAGCUGCAUCCGCGCUGCAUUAGCUGGUUGGUAAGUUAACGGCUUACGACGGCAAGGAUGCGUAGCCGACGUGAGUGACUGAUCGCCGACAUUGGAGCUGAGACACGGUCCAGACGCCUACGGGAGGCAGCAGUCGGGAAUCGUCCGCAAUGGGCGAAAGCCUGACGGAGCAACGCGGCGUGAGUGAUGACGGUCCUCGGAUCGUAAAACUCUGUUAUUAGUGAAGAACCUAUGUGUAAGUAACUGUGCACAUCUUGACGGUACCUAAUCAGAAAGCCACGGCUAACUACGUG
rnacentral:rRNA from 1 species